CCAUUGGUGGUUCAGUGGUAUAAUUCCUGCCUUCCGUGCUGGAGACCCGGGGUUCAAUUCUUGGCCAGUGUA
rnacentral:tRNA from 1 species